rnacentral:rRNA from 1 species
CGCCUCCUGUCUAUUUAUAGGAGGUCCAGCCUGCCCGGUGACCUAGUUUAACGGCCGCGGUAUCCUAACCGUGCGAAGGUAGCGUAAUCACCUGUUUUUUAAUUGAAGACCUGUAUGAAAGGCAUCACGAGAAUCGUACUGUCUCCUUUUUCUAAUCAGUGAAACUAAUCUACCCGUGAAAAAGCGGGAAUACUCAUACAAGACGAGAAGACCCUUUGGAGCUUAAGACAAAGUAACGUUUUGCAUUAUUCAUUUUUAACCUAUUUCUAUGAGCACUUACAUUACAAGUCUUCGGUUGGGGCAACCGCGGAGUAAAAAUCACCCUCCAAGUUGAAUGGAAUUUUCCUAAGCAAGAAGCCACAACUUUAUGCAUCAAAAAACUGACAUUAUGACCCAAUAUCUUGAUUAUCGAACCAAGUUACCCUAGGGAUAACAGCGCAAUCCACUUCGAGAGUUCAUAUCGACAAGUGGGCUUACGACCUCGAUGUUGGAUCAGGGUAUCCCAGUGGUGCAGCCGCUACUAAUGGUUCGUUUGUUCAACG